rfam:Neurospora crassa OR74A unplaced genomic scaffold supercont12.9, whole genome shotgun sequence.
UAUUUAAUUAAUUCUAUUAGUAAUUAUAUACUUAUUUUAAAGAUUAAAUUAUAUAUAUUUAAAUUUAAGUAAUUAAACUACGAAAUUACGAAUAAUUUAUUAAAUUAGUUAUAGUUUAUUUAAUAGUACCUUACUAUAUAGAUAACUAUAGUAAUUCUAGAGUUAAUAUAUAUUAAAAACCCUAAUUUCGGAAGGGGUAUAUUUAUUAAAUUAAAAACUAAUACCCUUCGGAACUAACUAGUAAUUUAUAAUAAUUUCUCGAAUUAUAUAACUUUAUACUAGCGAUAGUUUAUUUAAAUUUCUACUUUAUUAAUUUUCGACGGCUAGGUUUUAGUUAACUAUAAUAAUAAUAGGUAAUAGAGGGUUAGGGCUCGACCCCGGAGAAGGAGCUUAAGAAACGGCUACUAUAUUUAAGGAAGGUAGUAAGCGUAUAAAUUACUUAAUCUCGACAUAGGGAGGUAGUAAUAAUAAAUAUUAAUAUAGGGUUCUUUUGGGUUUUGUAAUUAGAAUAAAUAUAAUUUAAAUCCCUUAAUAAAGAAUAAUUGGAGGGUAAAUCUAGUAUUAGUAGCCGUAGUAAUUCUAAUUCUAAUAACGUAUAUUAAAAUUAUUAAAGUUAAAAAGUUCGUAGUUAAACCUUAGGCUUAGUCCGUCGGUCCGCCUUACUACAUACAUUAAUUGGGUCGGGCCUUUUUUCUUAGAGAACCGUAUACCCUUUACUAGGUAUAUUGGGGAAUUAGGACUUUUAUUAUAAAUAAAUUAAAUCGCUCAAAGAAGGCUUAUAUUCGAAUGUACUAGUAUAGAAUAAUAGAAUAGGACGUAUAGUUCUAUUUUAUUAGUUUCUAGGACCGCUAUAAUAAUUAAUAGGGAUAGUCGGGGGUAUUAGUAUUUAAUUGUUAGAGGUGAAAUUCUUGGAUUUAUUAAAGAUUAAUUAUUGUAAAAGUAUUUACUAAGGAUAUUUUUAUUAAUUAGGAAUAAAAGUUAGGGGAUCGAAGAUAAUUAGAUACUAUUAUAAUUUUAAUUAUAAAUUAUACUAAUUAAGGAUCGGACAAUAUUAUUUUUUAACCUAUUCGGCACUUUAUAAUAAAUUAAAAUAUUUAGGCUCUUGGGGGAGUAUAGUCGUAAGGUUAAAAUUUAAAAAAAUUGACGGAAGGGUACUACUAGGGGUAGAGCCUGCGGUUUAAUUUAAUUCAAUACAGGGAAAUUCACUAAGUCCAGAUAUAAUAAAGAUUAAUAGAUUGAGAGCUCUUUUUUAAUUUUGUAAGUAGUAGUAUAUAACCGUUCUUAGUUAAUAGAGUAAUUUAUCUAUUUAAUUAUAAUAAUAAAUGAAACUUUAAUUUACUAAAUAGCCUAUAUUAUUUUAGUAGUACAUUAGUUUUUUAGAGGGAUUAUCGGCUUAAGCCAAUAAAAAUUUAAAGUAAUAAUAGGUCUAUAAUACCCUUAAAUAUUCUAGGCUGUACGUACACUAUACUAAUAUAGCUAGCGAAUACUCCCUUAGCCGGAAGGUCCGAGUAAUUUUAUUAAAUUGUAUUAUACUAGGGAUAGAAUAUUAUAAUUAUUACUCUUCAAUAAGGAAUCCCUAGUAAAUAUAAAUUAUUAAUUUGUAUUAAUUACAUCCUUACUCUUUAUAUAUACCGCCCGUUAUUACUACUAAUUAAAUAGUUUAAUAAAACUUCCGGACUAACCUAAAGAAGUCGGUAAUAACUACCCAAGGCCGGAAAGCUAUUUAAACUCAAUUAUUUAAAGGAAGUAAAAAUCGUAAUAAGGUUUCCGUUAGUAAAUUAGCGGAAAGAUUAUUA